CAGUAGCCGCGGGAAUACGUAGGUGGCAAGCGUUAUCCGGAAUUAUUGGGCGUAAAGCGCGCGCAGGCGGUUUCUUAAGUCUGAUGUGAAAGCCCACGGCUCAACCGUGGAGGGUCAUUGGAAACUGGGGAACUUGAGUGCAGAAGAGAAAAGCGGAAUUCCACGUGUAGCGGUGAAAUGCGUAGAGAUGUGGAGGAACACCAGUGGCGAAGGCGGCUUUUUGGUCUGUAACUGACGCUGAGGCGCGAAAGCGUGGGGAGCAAACAGGAUUAGAUACCCGGGUAGUCCCUGUCUCUUAUAC
rnacentral:rRNA from 1 species